GUUUCCGUGGCCUAGCGGUUAGGGCGUCUGUCUUACAAUCCCCAUUGGAUCACAGAAGAUCCCCGGUUCGAUCCCGGGCGGAAACA